rnacentral:rRNA from 1 species
GAGUUUGAUCCUGGCUCAGAUUGAACGCUGGCGGCAUGCCUUACACAUGCAAGUCGAACGGCAGCACGGGGGCAACCCUGGUGGCGAGUGGCGAACGGGUGAGUAAUAUAUCGGAACGUGCCCUAGAGUGGGGGAUAACGUAGCGAAAGUUACGCUAAUACCGCAUACGAUCUAAGGAUGAAAGCAGGGGAUCGCAAGACCUUGCGCUCGUGGAGCGGCCGAUAUCUGAUUAGCUAGUUGGUAGGGUAAAAGCCUACCAAGGCGACGAUUAGUAGCUGGUCUGAGAGGACGACCAGCCACACUGGGACUGAGACACGGCCCAGACUCCUACGGGAGGCAGCAGUGGGGAAUUUUGGACAAUGGGGGCAACCCUGAUCCAGCAAUGCCGCGUGUGUGAAGAAGGCCUUCGGGUUGUAAAGCACUUUUGUCAGGAACGAAACGGUUCGGGUUAAUACCCUGGGCUAAUGACGGUACCUGAAGAAUAAGCACCGGCUAACUACGUGCCAGCAGCCGCGGUAAUACGUAGGGUGCAAGCGUUAAUCGGAAUUACUGGGCGUAAAGCGUGCGCAGGCGGUUUUGUAAGACAGAUGUGAAAUGCCCGGGCUUAACCUGGGAACUGCAUUUGUGACUGCAAGGCUAGAAUCUGG